CAGGAUUAGAUACCCUGGUAGUCCACGCUGUAAACGAUGAGUGCUGAAUGUGGGGGUUUUUUACCUCUGUGUUGUAGCUAACGCGUUAAGCACUCCGCCUGGGGACUACGGUCGCAAGACUAAAACUCAAAGGAAUUGACGGGGACCCGCACAAGCGGUGGAGCAUGUGGUUUAAUUCGAUGCAACGCGAAAAACCUUACCACUCCUUGACAUGGAGAUUAGAUCCUUCUUAACGGAAGGGCGCAGUUCGGCUGGAUCUCGCACAGGUGCUGCAUGGCUGUCGUCAGCUCGUGUCGUGAGAUGUUGGGUUAAGUCCCGCAACGAGCGUAACCCUCAUCCUUAGUUGCCAGCGGGUUAAGCCGGGCACUUUAAGGAAACUGCCAGUGGUAAACUGGAGGAAGGUGGGGAUGAUGUCAAGUCAGCACGGCCCUUAUGGGGUGGGCUACACACGUGCCACAAUGGUGACUACAAUAGGUUGCAAUGUCGUAAGGCUGAGCUAAUCCGUAAAAGUCAUCUCAGUUCGGAUUGUCCUCUGCAACUCGAGGGCAUGAAGUCGGAAUCGCUAGUAAUCGUGGAUCAGCAUGCCACGGUGAAUACGUUCUCGGGCCUUGUACACACUGCCCGUCACGCCAUGGGAAUUGGCUUAACUC
rnacentral:rRNA from 1 species